rnacentral:rRNA from 1 species
UAAUACGGAGGAUGCAAGUGUUAUCCGGAUUCAUUGGGUCUAAAGGGUGCGUAGGCGGAAUAUUAAGUCAGUGAUGAAAUCCUGCAGCUUAACUGUAGAACUGUUAUUGAUACUGGUAUUCUUGAAUGCAGUUGAGGUAGGCGGAAUGUGUAAUGUAGCGGUGAAAUGCUUAGAUAUUACACAGAACACCGAUUGCGAAGGCAGCUUACUAAACUGUGAUUGACGCUGAGGCACGAAAGCGUGGGGAGCAAACAGG